GAUGAACGCUGGCGGCGUGCCUAAUACAUGCAAGUCGAGCGAACGGACGAGAAGCUUGCUUCUCUGAUGUUAGCGGCGGACGGGUGAGUAACACGUGGAUAACCUACCUAUAAGACUGGGAUAACUUCGGGAAACCGGAGCUAAUACCGGAUAAUAUUUUGAACCGCAUGGUUCAAAAGUGAAAGACGGUCUUGCUGUCACUUAUAGAUGGAUCCGCGCUGCAUUAGCUAGUUGGUAAGGUAACGGCUUACCAAGGCAACGAUGCAUAGCCGACCUGAGAGGGGGACGGCCAACACGGGAAGUGAGACAGGCCCCAGCCCCCUGCGGGAGGCAGAAGAGGGAAUUUUUCGGAAAGGGGGGAAAGCCGGACGGAGAAGCGCGGGGGGAGUAAUAAAGGUCUGGGUAUCGAAAAACUUUUUUAUGGGGGAAAAACAUAUGUGAAGGUAAUUGGACACUUCUUGAGGGUACCUAAUAAAAAGACCACGGCAAACUACGCC
rnacentral:rRNA from 1 species